GUAUUUGCAAAGUGUAAGAACAUUGCACAGUUGAUCCAGUUUGCAGCCAUCCGUAUGUAAAUACAACAUAGCACUUUACAAAAUCCUUCUAUGAAGUGAUAACUUACAAGCAUAGAUGGACAAUAUAUCACACAGCAAGGUUAGGAACCAGUACAACCCAUUUUACUCAACAUAACAUAUAAGCUAUUGAGGCUAUUAUUCAUGUUCUUCCUGUGGGUCCUCCUGUGGUAACUAUCACGUCAAGGCUGAUUUUGAUGGUAGCACCAAGUAGCUCUCUACGUAAUCUUCCCUGGCAUAUUUACAAGAACCUUAUUAGAUAUUUGUAGAUAUGAAUAGAUCAUAGAAAUAAGAGAAUAAAACAAAAAUAAAAAUGAACUAUAUGUUGUCCAAAAUUCUUAAAUCUUAUAGUGCAUACAAAUGAGAAUAACAUUGCAUCUACUAUAAAAUGAGAGUAAACAUGAAGUUGCCUAAAAUUAACCAAAGAAAACCCUGUCAAAUGAAAGUUAAAUGACAAAGAAACAAAACAUACAUCACAUAACUCAAGUACUAUUGUAGUAGCAGUUGAGGCCAUAUAAACAUGCCAACAAAUGGCAUCACUAACAAACAAUAGCCUCGCCGUGAUGUGUAAACUUGUUGACACGUGAACAUUUGAAGUUUACGCCAAACGGGUCAACGAGCAGCGGCAUAAAACUCAACAUUUAUGCUGCAAGUACAUCUCAAAGGGCUGACUAGUAAACAAUACUUGCUGCCCACUUGACAAACAUAAUACUAUUAUUUAUAACAGGAAACAAUAAUGAAAUGAAAUGAACCAGUAUAUAUGUAUACAGGGUGACAACGGUAGGAACAAGGCUUGUGCAUGUGUGAGAGAUGAUUCAUCAUUACUGCAUGUAUAUUAAUAGUGCAAGCAUGUAUAUGCAUCAGCAGCAAAACAAGAUAUGCUAAAACGUGUAUUGUUUUAAUGUCAUACUACAUGUAUAAUAAACAAAGUUACAGUGCAGCCACCUAGUGCUAUACAUAUUCAGUUUACUAGGAGCAAGGAUGCCAGGAAGCACAUGGUAUACAUAUUAAAAAGUUGAUAUACCUUCUUAAGACUGUUAGAUAUUAGAUUUCAAAGCAGCAAGAACAGCCAAGUAUUUUUCCAUAGCCUGCACAAGAUAAGGUGAUGUGAAUGCACCUGCAAGCACAAAUUUCGGACUGUGAGCUACCAUAAACCAUAUUAAAACAUAUAUGCUAUUUUUUUGAGAAGUCUGUUAGAUGCUAGAUUCACACUAUUGUUUACCAAAAUUGAGAUAGAUAAUAGUAGUAUCAAUAUUUUCUUAAUAAUCUCUAUUUCCUUUACUUACUUGGAUCCGAGCAAUAAUAAACCUAAGUUAUUUUUCAAAAUGUAGUGAUUUUUAUAGUUGCCUUUUCAAGCAUGGGUCCAUAUUUUCCCAUAACUAGAAUAUCCUUAAGCUAUUAAUUUCCAAAUUUAUGCAUGAUGCAAACAGUUCACCAGUAAACCUUUGAUAUAUUGUAUAUUUAAAUAUCACAAAACAAAGUCCUAGCUUAUUGCAAAGCAAUGCUGCAAAACUAAAACAUAUCAGAGAGAACACACUACACAUGUUAUAUCGAAUAGAAUAACUGAUGAGAGGCAAGUUCCAACUCCAUUGUCCAGAAUAUCUAGAAUGUGGGCUACAUCAAGUUGAUAUUGAUCUUGCUGUCCAAAAUCCUAUGAAGGCAGAAGUACGACUACGAAAAUACAUGUUAGCUCUUAACACGUAAAAGACAGAGUUGGCAGGAUCAAUGAUUUUCUGAAUUGUGGCCAAACCUCAUACAGAACUUGAAACAAACAUAUUCUGCUUGACACCAAAGACAAUUAGAAUUCUGGUUCACAUCCUAGUUAUGCUUAAUGACAUCAACUAGAUUCUUGUUACUUAAAUUGACUAUGCUAACCCAUGUACUACAGCCACAAUAGGAGUAAUCGUGGCUAUAAGAGAUCUUGAUCAACAGAUGUAUGUAUCAUUCAAAAAUAUUGGAAUAAAGUAUCAAGUGGUCGGAGCAUACAAUUAUUCCCUUGCUAGUGAACACACAUAUUUAAGGCAUUUGCUUAAAUUUAGAGUGCACUUAUGAAACAUGGGUGUUUAGAUUCACGACUUGCUGACCUGGCUCAACUUGGAUGCUUCCAUCAACUGCCUGUUGUCUCGGCAUAUUUGUUGGUUCACACCGGCAGCCAACAAUCGACAUCACCGUCAUACAUUCACUUCUCUACUAUACAUAUCAAAUCAAGCACUACAAAGUUAGUGAGUGAAACAGGAGACACUGUGCAUAUUAACCAAGAUAAUUACCACAUUUGAACAAGUGAAAUAUAUAUGUAUAAGUGAUUUGCAUAUUAAACCAGAAAAUUAUGAACUACAAAAUACUUCAAUUCCCCUCACUGUCCAGGACACAAUAGAACAAACUAGAGGUGCAACAGCUCAUGCAAGAAAAAACAGAAUUCCUACUUGCUAAAUUACUCCAUUCUUCAGGCCCAUGCAAGCUAAUAGUCUACAUGAAACACUGCAUGGUUCAGCCACGGGCUCACAGUAGAGGAGAUAGGCAGAGGUACAAGUGCUUAACUAUAAAGAAUCUAUAAAGCCUCAAUUAGCCCCCACAAAACUUCUCAUUUCAAGCCAUUUGGAUUGCCUCUUUAUUAAGCUUGACACCAAAAUUAUUACUGGACAAGGUAAACAUAUAUGUUCCACGGUUCCAAGAACAGUAACUUGUUCAAAUAUAUACGGAUGAACACGCUCAGUCAGCCAAAGCACAUACUACAAAGAAAAGAAGGGCUGGAGCAGAGGAAAAGGGGUUUGAGGUGUUCACCUGGGCAAGGGAGGGCCUCCAGUGGUCCAAAUGCAGCGGAGG
rnacentral:lncRNA from 1 species